AGCAGCCGCGGUAAUUCCAGCUCCAAUAGCGUAUAUUAAAGUUGUUGCAGUUAAAAAGCUCGUAGUUGAAUUUCGGGAUCAGUUGGUCGGUCGUGCCUCGGUACGUACUGGUCAAAUUGAUUCCUACCUUCUGACGAACCACGAUGUCAUUAAUUUGGUGUCGCGGGAAAUCAGGACUGUUACUUUGAAAAAAUUAGAGUGUUUAUAGCAGGCUCGCGCUUGAAUACAUUAGCAUGGAAUAAUGAAAUAGGACGUUUGAUUCUAUUUUGUUGGUUUCUAGGAUCGACGUAAUGAUUAAUAGGGAUAGUUGGGGGCAUUAGUAUUCAAUUGUCAGAGGUGAAAUUCUUGGAUUUAUUGAAGACUAACUACUGCGAAAGCAUUUGCCAAGGAUGUUUUCAUUAAUCAAGAACGAAAGUUAGGGGAUCGAAGACGAUCAGAUACCGUCGUAGUCUUAACCAUAAACUAUGCCGACUAGGGAUCGGAUGAUGUUAAUUUUUUUCAAUGACUCAUUCGGCGCCUU
rnacentral:misc_RNA from 1 species